rnacentral:rRNA from 1 species
CCCUUAGAUGUUCUGGGCCGCACGCGCGCUACGCUGUUCGACGCAGCGAGUCUUAACCUUGACCGAAAGGUUUGGGUAAUCUUCAGCAAAGUCGAACGUGAUGGGGAUCGAUCAUUGCAAUUAUUGAUCGUGAACGAGGAAUUCCUAGUAAGUGCAAGUCAUCAGCUUGCGCUGAUUACGUCCCUGCCCUUUGUACACACCGCCCGUCGCUACUACCGAUUGAAUGGUUUAGUGAGAUCUCUGGAUUGACGCUGGCUAGGGGGCGACCCUUGGCCAGACUGCUCGAGAAACUGCUCAAACUUGAUCAUUUAGAGGAAGUAAAAGUCGUAACA